rnacentral:rRNA from 1 species
GACGAACGCUGGCGGCGUGCCUAAUACAUGCAAGUCGAACGCAGUGGGGGCGGGUGAUUAACACGUGGGUAACCUCCCAUCAGAGGGGAUAACACUUGGAAACAGGUGCUAAACCGCUACUGAUGGAUGGACCCGCGGUGCAUUAGCUAGUGGGUGGGGUAACGGCUCACCAAGGCAACGAUGCAUAGCCGACCGGAGAGGGUGAGCGGCCACACUGGGACUUAGACACGGCCCAGACUCCUACGGGAGGCAGCAGUAGGGAAUCUUCGGCAAUGGACGAAAGUCUGACGCAGCAACGCCGCGUGAGUGAAGAAGGUUUUCGGAUCGUAAAACUCUGUUGUUAGGGAAGCGUUAUCUAACCAGAAAGCAACGGCUAACUACGUGCCAGCAGCCGCGGUAAUAC